rnacentral:rRNA from 1 species
CAGCAGCCGCGGUAAUACGAAGGGGGCUAGCGUUGCUCGGAAUGACUGGGCGUAAAGGGCGCGUAGGCGGCGAUCAAAGUCAGGCGUGAAAUUCCUGGGCUCAACCUGGGGGCUGCGUUUGAUACUUGGUUGCUAGAGUGAGGAAGAGGGUCGUGGAAUUCCCAGUGUAGAGGUGAAAUUCGUAGAUAUUGGGAAGAACACCGGUGGCGAAGGCGGCGACCUGGUCCUUGACUGACGCUGAGGUGCGAAAGCGUGGGGAGCAAACAGGAUUAGAUACCCCCGUAGUCCCUGUCUCUUAUAC